rnacentral:rRNA from 1 species
UACGUAGGGAGCAAGCGUUGUCCGGAAUCAUUGGGCGUAAAGCGCGCGUAGGUGGCCUCGUAAGUCCGCUGUGAAAGUCAAAGGCUCAACCUUUGAAAGCCGGUGGAUACUGUGGGGCUAGAGUACGGAAGAGGCGAGUGGAAUUCCUGGUGUAGCGGUGGAAUGCGCAGAUAUCAGGAGGAACACCAAUUGCGAAGGCAGCUCGCUGGAACGUAACUGACGCUGAGACGCGAAAGCGUGGGGAGCAAACAGG